rnacentral:rRNA from 1 species
AACGAACGUUAGCGGCGCGCCUAACACAUGCAAGUCGCACGAGAAAGGGCUUCGGCCCCGGUACAGUGGCGCACGGGUGAGUAACACGUGGGUAAUCUGCCUUCGAGUGGGGGAUAACAUUCCGAAAGGGAUGCUAAUACCGCAUAAGACCACAAGCUCCGCAAGGAGUAGCGGUCAAAGCUGGCCUCUAUAUAUAAGCUAGCGCUUGAAGAUGAGCCCGCGGCCCAUCAUGGUAGUUGGUAGGGUAAUGGCCUACCAAGCCGAAGACGGGUAACUGGUCUGAGAGGAUGAUCAGUCACACUGGAACUGAGACACGGUCCAGACUCCUACGGGAGGCAGCAGUGGGGAAUCUUGCGCAAUGGGCGAAAGCCUGACGCAGCGACGCCGCGUGAGUGAUGAAGGCCUUCGGGUUGUAAAGCUCUGUGGGGAGAGACGAAUAAGUGCCGGCUAAUACCUUGCAUGAUGACGGUAUCUCCUUAGCAAGCACCGGCUAACUCUGUGCCAGCAGCCGCAGUAAUAC